rnacentral:rRNA from 1 species
GCCACGCCCGCUACAGAAACUACAAAGGAAGUUGACGGGCCCCGCACAAGCAGCGGAGCGUGUGGUUUAAUUCGAUGCUACACGAAGAACCUUACCAGGGUUUGACAUACAAGUAGUAGGGAAAGGAAACUGGACCGACCCUUCGGGGAGCUUGAACAGGUGCUGCAUGGCUGUCGUCAGCCCGUGUCGUGAGAUGUUCGGUUAAGUCCGCUAACGAGCGCAACCCUCGCUGUGUGUUACAAGUGUCACACGGAACUGCCGGUCAUAAACCGGAGGAAGGUGGGGAUGACGUCAAGUCAGCAUGGCCUUUAUAUCCUGGGCUACACACACGCUACAAUGGGAAGGGACAAUAGGUUGCGAAACCGCGAGGUGGAGCCAAUCCAGCAAAACUUCCCUCAGUUCAGAUUGCAGGCUGCAACUCGCCUGCAUGAAGUUGGAGUUGCUAGUAAACGCAGGUCAGCCAUACUGCGUUGAAUACGUUCCCGGGGCUU